rnacentral:lncRNA from 1 species
GUAAAAAGCACAUAUAUACUUUAUUAUAAAACACCGUAUAAAUAUUAAAUAAACUCCAAAUGUCCAUACAUGAUAAAUAAACAAAAUUAUACAUGAUAAAUAAACAAAAUUAUACUCCAAAUAUCCAUACAUGAUAAAUAAACAAAAUUAUUUUUCAAAGCUAAAUAUUUGAUAUAAAAGUAAACUUCUAAAAAAACACAAGAAUAAUCCAUAAAAUUAAGUUGCUGACUUAAUCUCUUCAAGUUUUUUUCUUCUUGUGUUUUUCCGUGAUUUGAAAAAUAUGAGUAAUGGACUAAAACAUAUAUCCUGAUGUUGUUGCAAAGGCAAAAGCUUUCCAUUCGUAAUACUCAGUGUUUGAAGCAUCCACUUCCUCUUUUUUUUUUUUUUCUGCUGCAGAUGCGGACAUUGUCAAGGCUAAAGCAGGACACACAUCUCAUGGGUCACAGUCUCCAAAUGUCAUUGUUGUCAUUACAUUAAUAUGAAUAUAACAUAAACAGAUAACCUUAAAGAGAAGAAAUUAGAAAAUGAUAAAAAAACAAUACAAUAAUCAACAAAUAAAUAAGGAGUAGAAAGAAGGAUUUGAAAGGGGGAAAAAAGCUUUAGUUUCAGUAAAAUGGAAAUGUAGAAAACCCCCCAAAAGGUGUAAAAUAACGACAUAGCACAAAGUCUUAAGAACCCAACAAAAGGUGAAAUUUUCACAAAAUCAGAACUAAAACACAAAAUAAAUAGAUAAACCAUAGACAAAUUAUAAAUUUACCCCAAGGAGAAUAUUUGUGAGUAAAGGGUUUCUGAAUCCAUAUUUGAUUUGCUUGGUUAUUGUUGCACAAAGACACAAACCCCACUCUUCUUGCCUCAGAAGCAGAGUAAACCUUAAAACCACCUAAUAUAUUAAGAAACUUAAGUUCAUUAAGAAAAAAUUGAAAUCAAAUAGAGUAAAGUCGAAAAGAAACCAAAUAAAAAACACAUAUGAAAAAAUUUGUUUCUAGAAAACCAUAUCUGCCAAAAAUUAAUAAAAGAAACAAUUUAUGAAGGUUUGCUAUAAUCGUGAAGGUUUCAAAGUAAAAUAGAAAGAAAGUCAUAAAACUUCAUAUGUAUUCCAAUUUGUUAAAAUUAAAAAACGUAAAACAUGUUUACACAAAAAAUGGACACCAAUCAUACUUAAGCAUAGAUGAAAAACUCAAGAUUUAUUUGGGCGUCUAUGGUCCGUCAAGAUGCAUAUACACAUAAGAUGAAAAAAAUACCUACAAACAUUACAUGAUGGGAUUCAUUUUCCGGAGGCCUAAAAAAAACGAAGUAAAAAAGAAGGUCACAUUGAUUAAACUUUUCGCAUUCUAUUCCCCUUCACCAUGAAUGCACCUGUAAAUAGCAAAACAUCAGGUGGAGAUGAUUAUGAACACUACUAAAUGAAGAAUCAUAGACUAUAUGAUUUUAAAACAGAACCUGCAUUUAAAACAUAAAUAGAUUAGAUCAUGAGAUUUUGAGUAACAAAAACAAACAACUGUAAUGGAAAGAGGAAGAGUUGAAGAGAGUUGAGAUUGUUGCCUGGAAAAUCAUAAAAAAUGUGCCUAGUGGUGAAUAUGGUGACCGGAGUCAAAGAAGACCAUCACCAUGACCAUGUAUGUGGUGCCGAUAAAAUCUCUUGGUAACGGUACCUACAACCCAAAUUAAAAUCUAAGAGAGAGAGAGAGAGAGAGAGAGAGAGAGAGAGAGUCAAUGAUGCUAGUGUUUGGAUAUAGAUCCAGAUCCACUAAUCGACACAGUGGAGAAACAUGGUGGUGUACUAAAAUUGAAACACCAAAUUCAGUUGUAUUCCUGGUCUCGUUCUUCAACCUCGGUUCAUUCAAUUUCCUAUAAUCUUCAUCCCAUAUUCAAAACGAUGAAGGUGUUUGUGUGUGAUUUAAAAAUUAGGGAUGGGAAAAUGCCACUCUAAAUUUUCAGCUAUUUCUCUUUCGAUCUGUUUGAUGAAAUAAUGAUGUCUAGGGCUGAUAUUAGAUUUAGGGAUUUUAGAAAUAAUAUGUGAGUGAGGGUGGCGAUAGCUAGAGGUUUAUUGAAGGGAGAUUAUUGGAAUAUAUGGUGAAGAUGGAAGUGAGAAAUUUGUGCGGCGGCGGAAGGUGGAGGUACAUGGAAGAAUACAGGGGAUUCCGGCUUAGACCUGGAAGCUUUGAUUUGCGAUUCCAGCUGAGGAUACAAACAAAUAAGAAGUAAGAAGAAGGAGUCGACUGAGUGAUGUUUAAUCGUUGUUAGGAUGCAAGAUAUCUAUAAAUCCACUAUAAUCGUUGCAUAGGUGGGGUGGGAUUUAGAAGAUAACCUUACCGAUUCGAGAUAAUCGGUGUUUAGAGAGAGAGAGAGAGAGAGAGAGAGAGAGAGAGAGAGAGAGAGAGAGAGAGAGAGAGAGAGAGAGNNNN